GACGAACGCUGGCGGCGUGCUUAACACAUGCAAGUCGAACGGAAAGGCCAUGCUUUUGUGGGGUGCUCGAGUGGCGAGCGGGUGAGUAACACGUGAGUAACCUGCCCUUGACUUUGGGAUAACUUCAGGAGACUGGGGCUAAUACCGGAUAGGAGCUCCUGCUGCAUGGUGGGGGUUGGAAAGUUUCGGCGGUUGGGGAUGGACUCGCGGGUUAUCCGCUUGUUGGUGGGGUAGUGGCUUACCAAGGCUGUGACGGGUAGCCGGCCUGAGAGGGUGGCCGGCCACAUUGGGACUGAGAUACGGCCCAGACUCCUACGGGAGGCAGCAGUGGGGAAUAUUGCACAACGGGCGGAAGCCUGAUGCAGCAACGCCGCGUGCGGGAUGACGGCCUUCGGGUUGUAAACCGCUUUCGCCUGUGACGAAGCGUGAGUGACGGUAAUGGGUAAAGAAGCACCGGCUAACUACGUG
rnacentral:rRNA from 1 species